rnacentral:misc_RNA from 1 species
CUUAUUGAAAACCUUAUUAAAUCUUGGAUCUGUGCCAUGAUAUUCGAAUGCUGUCAUUCCAUACGCCUUGUUAAAUGGAAUGCCUCCUUCAAGAACUGCAUCUUUCAAAUGAUACCAGCUUUCCAUGAGGACUUUAUCCUGGUUCAUGAGACAAAGAGCGGCAAUUGACACACCAUCUUCAUUCUUGGUCAAGAAUUUGCAAACAGGGGCAAGACCAUAGAGCCUCUCAACUUUGCCAUCAGGAAGGGUUCUCAGAGAAUAAGUAAGAACGGAGUAGCUGGCCAAGAGUCGCAAGAGACGGUCCAACAUCACUGGCGCAUCUGGGUUCUUAGUGGGUAGCUGAGAAGCGAUGUCAGACGGCGACAGGAAUGCACCAGGACCUGCUUUUGCCAUGAUUUCAAGUAGGUCGAGCUCAAUGGCAGAUUUCAGCACCAUAGGCAACACUGAUGCGCUAGCUAGUUGCAUAGCAAACAGAUUUGCUUCUUCAUCUGAUACCUGAGUAGGAGUCAUCUGAGUUUCGCCGGCUGAACCCAUUCUUGAAUUGGUGGUUCUUUUUUACCUUGUUCAAGAAUGGAGAGUGGACCAGUUAAAAUAUAGUAAGGUUGAAGAAGGAAGAGGACAAAAAGAAGAAAAAUU